GGGUUGUGAGGUUAAGCGACUAAGCGUACACGGUGGAUGCCCUGGCAGUCAGAGGCGAUGAAGGACGUGCUAAUCUGCGAUAAGCGCCGGUAAGGUGAUAUGAACCGUUAUAACCGGCGAUUUCCGAAUGGGGAAACCCAGUGUGACUCGUCACACUAUCAUUAACUGAAUCCAUAGGUUAAUGAGGCGAACCGGGGGAACUGAAACAUCUAAGUACCCCGAGGAAAAGAAAUCAACCGAGAUUCCCCCAGUAGCGGCGAGCGAACGGGGAGGAGCCCAGAGCCUGAAUCAGCAUGUGUGUUAGUGGAAGCGUCUGGAAAGGCGCGCGAUACAGGGUGACAGCCCCGUACACAAAAGCGCAUGUGCUGUGAGCUCGAUGAGUAGGGCGGGACACGUGGUAUCCUGUCUGAAUAUGGGGGGACCAUCCUCCAAGGCUAAAUACUCCUGACUGACCGAUAGUGAACCAGUACCGUGAGGGAAAGGCGAAAAGAACCCCGGCGAGGGGAGUGAAAAAGAACCUGAAACCGUGUACGUACAAGCAGUGGGAGCCCCACCACUAAGCCAGUGGUGAACUCCACAUACGCAUCCUUUGCUGAGGAUACGGUUAACGGAGCGAAAGCGACGUUCAACCGCAAAAGAAGCAGAGGGGGCUUAGUGGUGGGGUGACUGCGUACCUUUUGUAUAAUGGGUCAGCGACUUAUAUUCUGUAGCAAGGUUAACCGAAUAGGGGAGCCGGAGGGAAACCGAGUCUUAAUUGGGCGUUAAGUUGCAGGGUAUAGACCCGAAACCCGGUGAUCUAGCCAUGGGCAGGUUGAAGGUUGGGUAACACUAACUGGAGGACCGAACCGACUAAUGUUGAAAAAUUAGCGGAUGACCUGUGGCUGGGGGUGAAAGGCCAAUCAAACCGGGAGAUAGCUGGUUCUCCCCGAAAGCUAUUUAGGUAGCGCCUCGUGAAUUCAUCUCCGGGGGUAGAGCACUGUUUCGGCUAGGGGGCCAUCCCGGCUUACCAACCCGAUGCAAACUGCGAAUACCGGAGAAUGUUAUCACGGGAGACACACGGCGGGUGCUAACGUCCGUCGUGAAGAGGGAAACAACCCAGACCGCCAGCUAAGGUCCCAAAGUCAUGGUUAAGUGGGAAACGAUGUGGGAAGGCCCAGACAGCCAGGAUGUUGGCUUAGAAGCAGCCAUCAUUUAAAGAAAGCGUAAUAGCUCACUGGUCGAGUCGGCCUGCGCGGAAGAUGUAACGGGGCUAAACCAUGCACCGAAGCUGCGGCAGCGACGCUGAUGCGUUGUUGGGUAGGGGAGCGUUCUGUAAGCCUGUGAAGGUGUGCUGUGAGGCAUGCUGGAGGUAUCAGAAGUGCGAAUGCUGACAUAAGUAACGAUAAAGCGGGUGAAAAGCCCGCUCGCCGGAAGACCAAGGGUUCCUGUCCAACGUUAAUCGGGGCAGGGUGAGUCGACCCCUAAGGCGAGGCCGAAAGGCGUAGUCGAUGGGAAACGGGUUAAUAUUCCCGUACUUGGUGUUACUGCGAAGGGGGGACGGAGAAGGCUAUGUUGGCCGGGCGACGGUUGUCCCGGUUUAAGCGUGUAGGUGUGUGUUCCAGGUAAAUCCGGUUCACUUUAACACUGAGGCGUGACGACGAGGCACUACGGUGCUGAAGCAACAAAUGCCCUGCUUCCAGGAAAAGCCUCUAAGCAUCAGGUAACAUCAAAUCGUACCCCAAACCGACACAGGUGGUCAGGUAGAGAAUACCAAGGCGCUUGAGAGAACUCGGGUGAAGGAACUAGGCAAAAUGGUGCCGUAACUUCGGGAGAAGGCACGCUGACACGUAGGUGAAGUGAUUUACUCACGGAGCUGAAGUCAGUCGAAGAUACCAGCUGGCUGCAACUGUUUAUUAAAAACACAGCACUGUGCAAACACGAAAGUGGACGUAUACGGUGUGACGCCUGCCCGGUGCCGGAAGGUUAAUUGAUGGGGUCAGCGCAAGCGAAGCUCCUGAUCGAAGCCCCGGUAAACGGCGGCCGUAACUAUAACGGUCCUAAGGUAGCGAAAUUCCUUGUCGGGUAAGUUCCGACCUGCACGAAUGGCGUAAUGAUGGCCAGGCUGUCUCCACCCGAGACUCAGUGAAAUUGAACUCGCUGUGAAGAUGCAGUGUACCCGCGGCAAGACGGAAAGACCCCGUGAACCUUUACUAUAGCUUGACACUGAACAUUGAGCCUUGAUGUGUAGGAUAGGUGGGAGGCUUUGAAGUGUGGACGCCAGUCUGCAUGGAGCCGACCUUGAAAUACCACCCUUUAAUGUUUGAUGUUCUAACGUGGACCCGUAAUCCGGGUUGCGGACAGUGUCUGGUGGGUAGUUUGACUGGGGCGGUCUCCUCCUAAAGAGUAACGGAGGAGCACGAAGGUUGGCUAAUCCUGGUCGGACAUCAGGAGGUUAGUGCAAUGGCAUAAGCCAGCUUGACUGCGAGCGUGACGGCGCGAGCAGGUGCGAAAGCAGGUCAUAGUGAUCCGGUGGUUCUGAAUGGAAGGGCCAUCGCUCAACGGAUAAAAGGUACUCCGGGGAUAACAGGCUGAUACCGCCCAAGAGUUCAUAUCGACGGCGGUGUUUGGCACCUCGAUGUCGGCUCAUCACAUCCUGGGGCUGAAGUAGGUCCCAAGGGUAUGGCUGUUCGCCAUUUAAAGUGGUACGCGAGCUGGGUUUAGAACGUCGUGAGACAGUUCGGUCCCUAUCUGCCGUGGGCGCUGGAGAACUGAGGGGGGCUGCUCCUAGUACGAGAGGACCGGAGUGGACGCAUCACUGGUGUUCGGGUUGUCAUGCCAAUGGCACUGCCCGGUAGCUAAAUGCGGAAGAGAUAAGUGCUGAAAGCAUCUAAGCACGAAACUUGCCCCGAGAUGAGUUCUCCCUGAGACUUUAGGUCUCCUGAAGGAACGUUGAAGACGACGACGUUGAUAGGCCGGGUGUGUAAGCGCAGCGAUGCGUUGAGCUAACCGGUACUAAUGAACCGUGAGGCUUAACCUUACAACGCCGAAG
rnacentral:rRNA from 1 species